rnacentral:rRNA from 1 species
UGGGGAAUAUUGCACAAUGGGCGCAAGCCUGAUGUAGCCAUGCCGCGUGUGUGAAGAAGGCCUUCGGGUUGUAAAGCACUUUCAGCGGGGAGGAAGGCGGUGAGGUUAAUAACCUCAUCGAUUGACGUUACCCGCAGAAGAAGCACCGGCUAACUCCGUGCCAGCAGCCGCGGUAAUACGGAGGGUGCAAGCGUUAAUCGGAAUUACUGGGCGUAAAGCGCACGCAGGCGGUCUGUCAAGUCGGAUGUGAAAUCCCCGGGCUCAACCUGGGAACUGCAUUCGAAACUGGCAGGCUAGAGUCUUGUAGAGGGGGGUAGAAUUCCAGGUGUAGCGGUGAAAUGCGUAGAGAUCUGGAGGAAUACCGGUGGCGAAGGCGGCCCCCUGGACAAAGACUGACGCUCAGGUGCGAAAGCGUGGGGAGCAAACAGG